rnacentral:lncRNA from 12 species
CUUGGGAAUCAGGGUAAGACUCUCAAUGGGAAGAAUCCUCCAAGAAUUGGGAUUCACAUCCAGGGUGAGAAAUACACCUCCAAAUUCCCAUGGAAAAUCCUACAGAUGGAUUCAUUGGCUUGGGAAUCAGGGUAAGACUCUCAAUGGGAAGAAUCCUCCAAGAAUUGGGAUUCACAUCCAGGGUGAGAAAUAAACCUCUAAAAUCCCCAUGGAAAAUCCCACUGAUGGAUUCAUUGGCUUGGGAAUCAGGAUAAGACUCUCAAUGGGAAGAACCCUCCAAGAAUUGGGAUUCACAUCCAGGGUGAGAAACACCCAUCAAAAAUCCCAUUGAAAAUCCCACAGAUGAUUGCCCUGGCAAGACCCCGAAUGGUGAUGAUUAAAAAUCCCCCUUGAUUGAAAUUCCUCUUUUUUCCUCAUUGAAAAAGGAGGAGAAGAGGUGAGAAAAACGCGGGAACGAUACACCCCGAUGUGCCUUACGAGCAGCAAAGGGAACUUUUAAGCCACUCCAAACACUCCAACACAUCCCAGCGAGCCAGACCCCGAAACCACCACCAAGAAAACCCCAAGCGGAACACGAUCUGCCGCCGAGCUGGGGGUGGUCCCUGCGGCUCAGGGGGCCGGGGAGGGGGGCACACUCACCACGGGGGAGGGGGACAGGGCGAUGUUGCCCACGGACGCCCGGAGCUCGUCCACGGUGGCCGCGCUGCGCAGGGCGUCCUUGGCUUGCAGGGGCUUGAUCUUGAUGUUGAACUUCUUGUGCGCCUCCUCCUCCUCCUCCGACUCGCUGGAGGAGUAGAAGUGCUUUCCUUUGGUAGAUCCUGGUUCCUCGGGUCUGAUGCUGUAUCCCUCCUCAUCCAGCUCAGGUGAGUUCUGGAUAGGGAACAAAAAAAAAAAAAAAAACCAACCAAACAGGAAAAUCAGGAAUUAAUCCUCCUC